rnacentral:rRNA from 1 species
GUUAUAUGGUCAAGUGAACAAGCGCAUCUGGUGGAUGCCUUGGCAGCUGAAGGCGAUGAAGGACGUUGCAGCCUGCGAUAAGCCUCGGGGAGUCGGCAAACAGACUUUGAUCCGGGGAUUUCCGAAUGGGGAAACCCGACACUUGUGUCAUUGUGUACUGAAUUCAUAGGUAUACAAGGCGAACCCGGAGAACUGAAAUAUCUAAGUACCCGGAGGAACAGAAAUCAACCGAGAUUCCCUUAGUAGUGACGAGCGAACGGGGAGUAGCCCUUAAGUGAUUCGAGAGUUAGCAGAAGGUUCUGGAAAGUUCUGCCAUAGUGGGUGAAAGCCCCGUAUGCGAAAAUGAUCGAGUCAUGAAAUCGAGUAGGGCGGGGCACGUGAAACCUUGUCUGAAUAUGGGGGGACCAUCCUCCAAGGCUAAAUACUCUCAGCUGACCGAUAGCGAACUAGUACCGUGAGGGAAAGGUGAAAAGAACCCCUGUUAGGGGAGUGAAAAGAACCUGAAACCGGAUGCGUACAAGCAGUGGGAGCACUAAAGCGGCUUCGGCCGUGGUGAGUGUGACCGCGUACCUUUUGUAUAAUGGGUCAGCGACUUACUCUUGCUGGCAAGGUUAACCGUUUAGGGGAGCCAUAGGGAAACCGAGUCUGAAUAGGGCGUUAAGUCUGCAGGAGUAGACCCGAAACCGGGCGAUCUAGCCAUGGGCAGGGUGAAGGUCAGGUAACACUGACUGAAGGCCCGAACCCACCUAUGUUGAAAAAUGGGGGGAUGACCUGUGGCUUGGAGUGAAAGGCUAAUCAAGCCCGGAGAUAGCUGGUUCUCCUCGAAAACUAUUGAGGUAGUGCCUCUUGUAUCACCGUCGGGGGUAGAGCACUGUUUGGGCUAGGGGGUCAUCUAGACUUACCAACCCCAUGCAAACUCCGAAUACUGGCGAGUGCAGCAAGGGAGACAGACGGCGGGUGCUAAGGUCCGUCGUCGAAAGGGAAACAGCCCAGACCGCCAGCUAAGGUCCCAAAACCGUGAUUAAGUGGGAAACGAUGUGGGAAGGCCUAGACACCCAGGAGGUUGGCUUGGAAGCAGCCAUCCUUUAAAGAAAGCGUAACAGCUCACUGGUCAAGUCGGCCUGCGCGGAAGAUGUACCGGGUCUUAAAUCACGUACCGAAGCUGCGGGCUUAUGACAGUUUAACUGUUGUGAGCGGUAGAGGAGCAUUCUGUAAGCCGUUGAAGAUACAUGGCGAUGUGUAUUGGAGGUAUCAGAAGGGAGAAUGCUGACAUAAGUAACGAUAAAGGAGGUGAGAAUCCUCCUCGCCGAAAGACUAAGGGUUCCUGUGCAACGUUCAUCGACGCAGGGUGAGUCGGCCCCUAAGGCAAGGCCGAAAGGCGUAGUUGAUGGGAAGCAGGUUAAUAUUCCUGCACCGGCGAUUGCUGCGAUGGGGUGACGGAGAAGGCUAGACAAGCCUGCUGUUGGUUUAGCAGGUUUAAGCACGUAGGCUGAGAUCUUAGGAAAAUCCGGGAUCUCUUAAGGCCGAGAUGUGAUGACGACUGAAUUUUCGGAUUCAGGAAGUUGUUGAUGCCAUGCUUCCAAGAAAUAACCUCUAAGCUCUAAGCAAUUGUUGACCGUACCCUAAACCGACACAGGUAGUCGGGUAGAGAAUACCAAGGCGCUUGAGAGAACUCGGAUGAAGGAACUAGGCAAAUUGGCACCGUAACUUCGGGAGAAGGUGCGCCGCACUUGGUGAAGGGUCUUGCACCUGGAGCUGAGGGCGGUCGAAGUGACCAGGUAGCUGCGACUGUUUACUAAAAACACAGCACUCUGCAAACUCGUAAGAGGACGUAUA